ACCUUAACUGCAGCAGCGUCGUGCGCAAAAAGCCAGCAAGACAGGCAGAGUUGACCAAGCACUUGGACACGCAAGCUUGGCAAGCUCAACAACACCCACAGACUGAGCAUAAGUGAGCCCUAACUUCUCAAGAUCCACGUGUCGGCUUCGGCGACGCGAACAAGAGUGGGUCUCCCUCAGACGGAGAUUUUUCCCGUUCUACUAAUCAAGCCACUCUUCAGGCACUCUUCACCCAUGCCUGCUACCAUCCUUUUGCCAGAGAAAAAGAGACAUUCUUGGGGAACGAAAGAGAAGGCUAAUGCCCUUGCGCACCUUACACUCGACUCAAAGACGUACUUGAAAAUUCAACAGAAACGGGAAGUCCUAUGGACAGAAAACCAGUCAGGUUACCCCAGAAAGAGAAAAAGGAACCACCACCUGUUCCCUACCUGUUUUCUCCGCCUUCGAAUUAGCACUUACAAAUCACAGCUCCUUUGUUUACAAAGUUCUCACUCUCAUUCAACUCACUCAUCGCCCCCUCAUUAAAUUCGGGGCCUUGCCUCAAUUUGACCCGAAAUUACACGCUAGGAAAUGUUUGAAUAGGUGUCAAAACACUGCAUCCAGUUCCUUGGAGAAACAGACAUUGGUUGUUUCCCUCGGAGAGUUGAAACUCAGAGAGCUGAACUCUUAAAACCUGUGCUUAUUCCAUCGAUAACCAGGCUAGAAAUCGUCACGCGGAACGUGCCAUGCUGUUCAACACCCCACGCACGCGAGGGCAGGGCCGUGCCGUAGGCACUUCUCACCCCGCCCGCCUCGUGGUCUCGGUCUCCGGCGUCGAUGUUCCUAGUUAGUUCUCCGAGCGACACGGAAGUGAGGUCGGGGAGGCGUGCGAGAUGACAUGCGCAACUCGCUCAAGGGACCAAAGGCUGCACAGCGUAAGGCCCAGCCAGGCCCAGGCGUGCGAAGCUCUCUCUGCGGAACGCUGGGCAAGCCGUUCAAAUACACAAGUGGUUUAAACUCAAAAAAACUCCAAUCGGGCCACUAUUGAAGCGACGCCCUCCACCCAGGCCCGAGAGUUACCGUGCGGGGCGUGGCCGGCCUCACCCCGAGUCCUUCACAUCCCUCUAGGGGAGGGUUAUUCUGAAGGGUUCGCACACCGUGUGUCCGCUUCAGCUGAAGAGCCUGCGCACGCACCGGAUGUCCACGUCACUGCGCACGCGCUCCUACCAGCUUGGAGCCGACCGCGCAGGCGCAUAGGGAGGCGCGAGCAGCACCUCUUUGCCCCUCCCCCAACAUCAGGAGGCCAAACAGCCCGGAGCAGCGUCAGGACCCUUGGGUUCCGCCCACGGAGCCGAAGCCGUAGCCUUUUCGCAUUUUAGUAAUCCAGAAAGAACUUAUGAAGCUUCCAGAAUCAGGAAAGGAGAGACAGGAGAGAGGUACACAAUACGCUCAAUCCUGUAUUCGAAGCCUUCGUGAAAAUUCUGAAACCACUGCCCUCCAGGCCUUUCCCAACAAGACUCUUCAGCCUUUCCCAGAGACUUCUCACCGGCCCCGCCCCUGCCGUACCCAGCCCCACCCACAUGAAGCUUCAUAGACCUCCUGGCUUCGCAAAUCC
rnacentral:lncRNA from 1 species